ensembl:misc_RNA Metazoa_SRP Metazoan signal recognition particle RNA
GCCAGGCAUAGUGGCAUGUGCCUGUAAUCCCAGCUACUCAGGAGGCUGAGGCAGGAGAAUCGCUUGAACCCAGGAAAUGGAGGUUGCAGUGAGCUGAGAUCAUGCCACUGCACUCCAACCUGGGUGACAGAGUGAGACUCCGCCUCAA